UUCGGGUUCCUUUCCCCCCCCCCCCCUUCCCCUCCCCCCCCUCCCCACUAAACGCACGAAGGAAGUUGUUGUCCAGGGCGUGAUGCAGACAUGUCGGACUGCUUUCUCCUGGCACCUCGUGACUGCCAAGCUUUCAAAAGAAAACAACAACCGACACCGCGGCUGAGCGGGCGGGCAGGCCCUGGCCGGGGGUCCGGGUGCUCCUCUGCAGGGCUGAAAGGACAAAAGCGGUGAGCAAGGACUUCUACCUGCGACCUAACUGAACACGUUGCUGCGACUCUAUACUUCCUGCGUUUCGAAGGCAAAAUGGCUCGCCGAACCUGUUCGAACACCUCUGGGGCUACAAACUACAAAUUCAAGGUCUUCGAUGAAUUGCUUCUGGUCCUGAAGUCCAUGCUGUCGGGGCUCUGUGACACCCCCUGCCGCCAGCAGAGGGCGCACUUCCUCCAGGCCCGCAGGUACGCACUGCGGAUCUUCGGCACCUUGAAGGCGUACACGACCGGAUUGACGGCGGAGUUGGCGUGCAUGAGGAGGAUCCCGACAUAGAAGACGUCCUGAGAGACGUCGCCUCCAGAGAACUCAACGCAGUACAUGAGGCUCAGCGGCAACAAGCCGAUGGCGAAGAGGACCACGACCAGCAGCAGGGACUUGGCCAGCUUCCGCUCUUUGGCGUAGUACGCGUGGGAUUCAGUGGCCCGGGCCUGGCUCCUCUGCAGCCGCUUGGAGAUGGAGUGGAAGAGAUGUGCGUAGAGGGCACACAUCACCAGCAGGGAAAGCAGCGUGCACCCAAAGAACUGGAAGUAGAUCAGUGACCUCACACCACACAAGGGCCAAGGAAUAUGGUGUGCAGCUGAGGUGAGGCUGGCACCCACCUGAGGGGCAUCUGCACGCGCAGGUGGCGAUCCACCGCGAUGACCAG